rnacentral:rRNA from 1 species
CUACGGGCCGCUCCAGUGGGGAAUAUUGCGCAAUGGGCGAAAGUCUGACGCAGCGACGCCGCGUGAGCGAUGAAGGCCUUCGGGUCGUAAAGCUCUGUCAGAGGGGACGAAAACUCAAGGGGAACAAUACCCCCUUGACCUGACGGUACCCUCAGAGGAAGCACCGGCUAACUCCGUGCCAGCAGCCGCGGUAAUACGGAGGGUGCGAGCGUUGUUCGGAAUCACUGGGCGUAAAGCGCACGUAGGCGGUCUGGGUAGUCUGGUGUGAAAUCCCUCGGCUCAACUGGGGAAGUGCGCGUGGAAACCAACAGACUGGAGUAUGGUAGGGGAUCGGGGAAUUCCUGGUGUAGCGGUGAAAUGCGUAGAUAUCAGGAGGAACACCGGCGGCGAAAGCGCCGAUCUAAGCCAUUACUGACGCUUAGGUGCAAAAGCGUGGGGAGCAAACAGGAUUAGAUACCCUUGUAGUC